GUGGGGUUGUGGCUCAGGGGAAGAGCGCUCGCCUAGCACACGUGAGGCUCUGGGUUCGAUCCUCAGCACCACA
rnacentral:tRNA from 1 species